rnacentral:sRNA from 1 species
CGCGCGGUGGGACCAUGGCCUCGGAGAAGCCGCUGGCGGCAGUCACUUGUACCGCGCCGGUCAACAUCGCGGUCAUCAAGUACUGGGGCAAGCGCGAUGAGGAGCUGGUUCUGCCCAUCAACUCCUCUCUCAGCGUCACUCUGCACCAGGACCAGUUAAAAACCACCACGACGGCCAUCAUCAGCAAGGACUUCACCGAGGACCGGAUUUGGCUGAAUGGCCGGGAGGAGGACGUGGGGCAGCCGCGGCUCCAGGCCUGCCUGCGGGAGAUCCGCUGCCUGGCCCAGAAGCGGAGGAACUCACGGGAUGGGGACCCGCUGCCCUCCAGCCUCAGCUUCAAGGUGCAUGUGGCAUCAGUGAACAACUUCCCCACAGCUGCGGGCCUGGCCUCCUCGGCGGCGGGCUAUGCCUGCCUAGCCUACACCCUGGCCCGUGUCUAUGGCGUGGAGAGUGACCUCUCAGAAGUGGCUCGCCGGGGCUCCGGCAGCGCCUGCCGGAGCCUGUAUGGGGGCUUUGUGGAGUGGCAGAUGGGAGAGCAGGCUGACGGGAAGGACAGCAUCGCCUGGCAAGUGGCCCCCGAGUCACACUGGCCUGAACUCCGCGUGCUCAUCCUUGUGGUGAGUGGGGUGGGGCGGGUGGAGCAGCAGCCAGGUGGCCUCUGUCCCUAGUCAGGGCUGCUGCUGGGAGCAGGAGCGAAGGCGUCCAUCCAGGCUUUGCUUGGCUGCUGGGGUCAGUGGGGGCUGAAGAAACAGAAGCGUGGUUGAGUGCUCAGGAAGCGCUCCCAUGCAGCGGGCGCCACCACCCAUUGGGAUCUAGAAGUUGCCCCUGCAUCAGCCCUGCUGUGGCCAGGAGGCCUCCGUGGUCAGGCAGGUGGCACUGACUCCCACC